rnacentral:rRNA from 1 species
UACGUAGGGUGCGAGCGUUGUCCGGAAUUAUUGGGCGUAAAGAGCUCGUAGGCGGUUUGUCGCGUCUGCCGUGAAAGUCCGGGGCUCAACUCCGGAUCUGCGGUGGGUACGGGCAGACUAGAGUGAUGUAGGGGAGACUGGAAUUCCUGGUGUAGCGGUGAAAUGCGCAGAUAUCAGGAAGAACACCAAUGGCGAAGGCAGCUCUCUGGGACGGUACUGACGCUGAGACGCGAAAGCGUGGGGAGCGAACAGG